AGCGCAGGCGGAAGGACAAGUUGGAAGUGAAACCCACGGGCUCAACCCGUGAACUGCUUUCAAAACUGUUUUUCUUGAGUGGUGUAGAGGUAGGCGGAAUUCCCGGUGUAGCGGUGGAAUGCGUAGAUAUCGGGAGGAACACCAGUGGCGAAGGCGGCCUACUGGGCACUAACUGACGCUGAGGCUCGAAAGCAUGGGUAGCAAACAG
rnacentral:rRNA from 1 species